CAGGCAUCGCCGCCAUGUUCGCAGCAAAAUAAUUCCAGCAAGUUCGUAAUAGAAAAUAUAGUAAUGAGAAACAGUUCGGCGCGUCCUCGACAAUUAUAUGGCUAUUACAUUUUUGUUUUGUGUAUGCAAUCGCGAGCAAUGUCAAAGAAGGUAAUUUUGACAACUUAGGUCGAAUCGCAUCGUUAGAAUACACGUUUUAGAGUCAAAAUUUGUUGUUGUGGUCUGAUGCUUUUGCCAACUUGCCAACAUUCAAUCAUGGUUAUGCUUGUAUUGCGAGUUACAAUGAAAAGGAUCAUCAACUUUGUCUAUGGAAUUUUCCUUGUAGUAAGUUUGUAGAAUGUUACAAAUGUUUGACUUUAAUGUACUUUCGCGAUCUUUUAUUAGAAGAGGAAAACUCGCGAUUUGCAAAUUUGAUGCCGUAAUAAAUUCGCAUUCUUAAAAAAGUUUGACCAAAUAUUGCCGGGGAAACUGUGAACAUGUACGGAAUGGCACUGGUAUCAUGUUAAGACUCUUCAAGAUGCUCUUUCCAACAUUCAGAUUUUUGGUUGUGACAGAGAAGCAAUCCACGAAGGUGUCUUCAAGUUGCAUAAUCUAAUUUAAAUAGCACGAUGAAGGAGCAGUCAGCCCACCAAAGUUGAGUUCUUUAUAUGUUUUGAAAUAGGAAAGCAAAUUAACAUCAUUGUUUAUGUUAUUUGAAGUCAAAACGUUCUUACAUUGGAUACAGCUGUGGAUUUUGAAAGCUUUGCUUAGCAAAUAUCCUGAAACAUAGGCAGCAGCAUUUUUGAGCAAUAAAUUGUUGCUAAUAUUUUGUUCUCGGUAGUCAUUUUCACCAAUCAACACUGAGUUACUUGGAGCUUUUGCAUGGAACAGUUUCCUUUGGAAGAGGUCAAAAGUGAACUGAAAAAAACCUUUCGAAAAGCUCUGAUAAAUUGUUUUGGCGUGGGAUUGUCAUAAUUACCUCCUUGAUGGCGUAUUGUUCCAAAAAAAAGUCUCUAGAGCAUCUGUGUUUAAUCUUCUGAUAAGCAAGAAUGCAAAAUUAUGUGAGGUAUGAAAAUAGGUCCAGAAACAGAUAAUGGCCUUUAUAGAUAUAAGCCAUCCCUUCAGUGAUUUGGUUCUGCCUGUGAUGUUUUUACCAUUUUCACCACUUUGAUUCCCUGUAUAAAGGACAUUGCUUCUUUGAGAAAAGCAAUGUGACUAUUGCUGUUGCUUAUUGCACUUCUUUGUUCUUUUGCUGAUUUCAAUGUGAAACUAUUGACUCAAUCGAAAAGCGAAUCAAAUUUGAAAAGCAACUCAGCUGUACCCAAGGCUGAUGGUGGUAGUGCUCCAAUUGAUGAAUAUGUGCAAAUCGAUGCAGCAACGGUGUGGCUGAAUAUUUGUGUAGCACAUUUAACUUGAAAAUUAAUCUGAAAAUUAAUGCAGCGACAGCGAUGUAACGAAAAUAACAAUAUAUAUAUAUAUCAGUAGAAGCAAGAGGACAAUUUUAUUUCCUUACAACGGAAUCAAUACUUUAAAUUAUCUAAAACAUGACAAAUAUAAGGAACAUAUAGUUAAGAGCAUCUGGAAGUUAGCUACAAUCAUACAAUAUAAGAAUUUUCCCAACACAAUAUGGCAUUGGCAUUAAAUACAAUUGCACAAGUUUGCAAUUUCUCAAUGA